ACAUGUCAACACGGACAAGUUUUUCAUAGACUUGCUCCGCUGUUUGGACGUUGAAGGCUUGCUGGCACGCUCAGUCGUCACCUGUCAGCUCCUUUUAAAUUCAUUAGCAGGAAUCAAUGCAAAUCUGACCUCGGUUUGAUAAGAUUUGAACCGUCGCCAAGGAUCGCUUUUUCCGGCUUCUAAUCGUCCGGUGAAAAACUGGACUGUCUCAUCCUUCGAGGCAAAAUCAUCAUGACA
rnacentral:misc_RNA from 1 species